AUGGGCCGCCGCCCCGCCUGGUGUUACCGGUAUUGUAAGAACAAGCUGUAUCCAAAGUCUCGCUUCUGCAGAGGUGUCCCUGAUGCCAAGAUCCGCAUCUUUGACCUGGGGCGGAAGAAGGCAAAAGUGGAUGAGUUCCCACUAUGUGGCCACAUGGUGUCAGACGAAUAUGAGCAGCUCUCCUCUGAAGCCCUGGAGGCUGCCCGUAUUUGUGCCAACAAGUACAUGGUGAAAAGCUGUGGCAAAGAGGGUUUUCACAUCCGAGUGCGGCUCCAUCCCUUCCAUGUCAUCCGUAUCAACAAGAUGUUGUCCUGUGCUGGAGCUGACAGAUCCACAUCUCCAAGAAGUGGGGCGUUACUAAGUUUAAUGCGGAUGAAUUUGAAGACAUGGUGGCUGAAAAGCGGCUUAUCCCAGAUGGCUGUGGGGUCAAAUACAUCCCUAAUCGUGGCCCCUUGGACAAAUGGAGGGCUCUGCACUCAUGA